CGCAAAGGCCUCAGGUAGGAUACACAUGUUUUAAACCUUUAUUUAACUCGGCAAGUCAGUUAAAAACAACUUCUUAUUUUCAAUUAAUGCCUAGGAACAUUGGGUUAACUGUCUUGUUCAGGGGCACCUUGUCGGCUCAGGGAAUUGAUCUUGCAACCUUUCGGUUACUAGUCCAACACCCUAACCACUAGGCUAUGCUGCUACUCCAAUGACUAUCCUCGAUUGAAGGUGGCUAUCAAGGUGGGGAGAACACACUUCUGUUCACAUUCUAACAAAAUGACACUCUCCUCAACCACACAUUUUGUAUCUAUCUGAUUUCAAUGUCACUAAAAUUACAGCUUUAAUGGUCAUGUUUUACUCAUGGAAAACCAAUGAUAUUUGCAGAAAGCAUAUGGUACGAACUAUACAUUCUUUGCAGUGUUGUAUUACACAAUGGCUAUUGAAUGCCCUAGAGUCUCAUCCCUGAUAGGACUAAAACUCUUCAACCUAUAACAACGUGCCUAGGUGGAUUGGGGCGUUAUUGUACAUACACAGUUCACUAUGAAACCAUCCUUCUGAGUGUCUUGUUAUGUCAUGAUCAAAUGUUGGUCAUCUUACCUGACAAGAGCAGAGCAUGACCAUGCUAAAUAGCCCAAGGAAGUUUCAGAACAUGGUGUUGAACAGAGAGCAACAGAAGUAGUCUUUAAUCUGGACUUUAAUCUGGACUCCCAUGUGUCGUAGUUUCUGCUGCUGUUGUGGAUAUCGGGGUCGUCUGGGCCGGCCUGAGCGUCCACAAUCUCCCUCCUCUUCCCCUUCUUCUCCCUCCUCUUCAACAUCACCAUACUGAUCCAUCUCUAUGUCAGCUUCACCUAAAUCUUUCGGCACUUCAGUCAUGUAAAAUCUUCCCUCCAUGAUUGUCAAAAUGGCAUUAAUGUUGAGCUGAACGAAAGGUCUCACCAGGUAUCUCUCCUAUUACCUCUUCCUCUCAUACACUGUAUAUUUUCCACAGCAGCAAUUUCAUGCAGUAUGAAGUAGAGACUGUAUACCCCUCCUUCAACCACAGCACCCUCCUCUCUCCUUUAACACUACCUCUUGCUAACCUAGAUUUGCAGAAUGGUUAAUGUUCCAAAUAUAUGUGGUGAAUGACACACCGAGCUAACUAACUAUCUGACCCAUAAAAUAUGACAAUGAACUCUAUGGUAGUGCUGCUGUGGGGUAGGUGGUAUUUUGAUCUGCUGACGUACUAGAUAGCUACUUUAUUAAUAAUCUCUGUCUGUGGACCCCCUGGGGAAAAUACUUCUGAACCCUCCAUGAUCACUGUAGAACAGGUUGUAUCUGAUGUUGAUCACUUAGUUUCUGACUGUAAGCAUUGUAAAGUUAGUGAUGCUUGUAUGGAAAACUGUACAGCAUAUGUAUAUUUUCUGGAUCCUUGACCCUCAAUAUUGACUCUUCUCUAAGAUGGAAAUAAGCUCCUCUGCUAUGAACUGUGUCAUGACGUUGGCCUGGCGAUAAGUUUAUGACAGUCAUAAAUACCUCUUCCCCCUUUUUUCCUCUCUCUACCCAACUGAUGUUACAUUUGCAAACUCCUUGGUUAACAUAGAGAUUCUGGGAACAUCAGAAGGUGGGGGAAAUGAAUUAUAUUCUGGUAACCCGACCAAUUGAACAUAUGCUGUGGUACUUAAUUAAUAUGAUGUCAGUUCGGUUGUCAUCUGAGACAUUCUCAUCAAUGAUAAGAUGACAUAAACUCUACAGUGUGAAGUCUACACAUCAGAGUUAUCGGAUUCACAUGGAAUUGUUGUUCAAUUUCAAUGUUUGAAUAUGAAAUUAUUUGUGAUGGGAUGAAAUGUGAGAAUUGGGUUUUCAUAAGGUUAGGGCUCUGCUCAAUCAGUGGCCUGUAACGACGUUCGUCUGUCGAAGGGGAGUCGGACCAAAAUGCAGCGUGGUGGUUACUCGUAUUCUUUAAUGAAAAAAAUAGCGAUACAUGAAAUAACUAAAUAAAUACAAAAACAACAAACAAAACGCGAAAACCUAUUACAGCCUAUCUGGUGAACACUACACAGAGGAGGAACAAUCACCCACAAAAUACACAGUGAAACCCAGGCUACCUAAAUAUGGUUCCCAAUCAGAGACAACGAGAAUCACCUGACUCUGAUUGAGAACCGCCUCAGGCGCAAUCCCAAUGCCUACAAAACCCCAAUACGAAACACAACAAAAUAAACCCAUGUCACACCCUGGCCUGACCAAAUAUAUAACGAAAACACAAAAUACUAUGACCAAGGCGUGACAUGGCCCGCCCCUGUGAAGAGUCAUGGGUUAUAAAACUUUUCAGACACACCCUUCUCGCUCCACUAUAUAAAGCCUGGACAAAAAUGUAACCUCCUGUUCAGAGGAUGUGAGGACGACGGUCUGAUGUCAGAAUGGUUCAGAUAAUAACUACAGAACAAAGCCAACAUCAGCGUGAGCCUUGGUUGCGAAUGGUAUGAACUUUGAACUCUUAUUCACUACAGAAGUGAUACCUCCUAGCCGUUGAGUUAGCAACAGCAGCUACAAACGAGGAUUAGGAAUGAACAGACAGAGCAUCCCAUCUAUCACACCACGACGUUACUACAACGUAUCCAAUUGACCACCAGAGACAUUCUUCAAAGGACAAAGGACUCGGUUUGGCAACACGGCCUUCCAUCUACCACCAACCGACUGAAGCGCAGCUCAGAGAGUUUGCUGUGAUGAAAUGGAUCAGUCACCUUCUCAGGUGUUAAAUGGUCAUGUAUUGGUGGUAUUGGAUUGGGAUUAUUGACUCUGGUUCAACAGAUGCUCCAGACUACUCAGACUCCCUGAAAGGCCUGUUCUCCCCGACUGAGGAUGUCUCUACAAGCACACAGUUCUUAGAGGCCAAGAGUCUGUGAUCAGAGGACUCUGCUGUUUAUUAUAGUGAGAUUGAGAGAGAGAGAGAGAGCGAGAGAGAGAGAGAGAGAGAGAGAGAGAGAGAGAGAGAGAGAGAGAGAGAGAGAGAGAGAGAGAGAGA